rnacentral:rRNA from 1 species
UCAAGUGACUAAGAGCACAUGGCGGAUGUCUUGGCGUCAAGAGGCGAUGAAGGACGUGGGAACCUGCGAAAAGUUCAGGGGAGCCGGUAACCAGGCUGUGAUCCUGAAAUGUCCGAAUGGGGAAACCCGGCCGUAAGGUCACUCUUACCUGAAUGCAUAGGGUAAGAGAGCGAACCUGGGGAACUGAAACAUCUAAGUACCCAGAGGAAAGGAAAUCAACCGAGACUCCGUGAGUAGCGGCGAGCGAAAGCGGAUUGCGACUUAAGUCAGUGAACGCGUUGGAAAGCGCGGCCAAAGAAGGUGAUAGCCCUGUAGUUGGAUGAUGUCGCUCAGCCCUAGAGUAGCGUCGGUGUCGUGAAACCCGGCGUGAACAUGGGGGGUCCACCCUCCAAGGCUAAGUACUACUUGACGACCGAUAGUUAACCAGUAAGGCGACUGAAUGAUGAAAACUACCCCUGCUAGGGGUGUGAAAGAGUAGCUGAAACCAUGUGCUUACACAGCGGUCAGAGCCCUUCGGGGUGAUGGCGUGCCUUUUGCAUAAUGACCCGGCGAGUUACUCUCAUUGGCGAGGUUAAGGCCUAGCGGGCCGAAGCCGAAGCGAAAGCGAGUCUGAAAUAGGCGUUGAGUCGAUGGGAGUAGACGCGAAACCUUGUGAUCUACCCAUGGGCAGGCUGAAG